AUGGCCUCCGCCGCCUUCGUGCACUUUGACGAGCUGUUGGGCACCGAGGCCGGCCGUGACUGCAUUCUGGACCUCUCGCAGCUGAUCACCCCAUCUCCGUACCUCCUCGAGCUGGAUGCGCCCUUCGACGACGAGGAGAUUUGGAACGCCGUGAAGCGGCUGCCGGCACGCAAGGCACCAGGGCCCGACGGCUUCACUGCCGAAUUCCUACGCGCCUGCUGGCCCACGGUCAAGGCCGACUUCGCCGUCGUCUUCCAGCAGCUCUACGACAUGCGGGGGCGCGGGUUCGCACGUCUGAACCAGGCCCUGCUCUCCCUGCUCCCCAAGCGUGCCGAUGCGAGCUGCCUACGGGACUAUCGGCCGAUCAGCCUCAUCCACCUGGUUCCAAAAGUCUUCGCCAAGGUGCUGUCGCUCCGCCUCGCGCCGAGACUCGACGCCCUCGUCAGCAACAACCAGAACACCUUCAUCCCUGGACGCAGCCUCCACGACAACUUCGUCCUGGUGCGCCAAUCUGCUCGCCUUCUGCACCAGCUGGGAGCACCGCGCGUAAUGCUGAAGCUUGAUCUCGCGAGGGCAUUCGACUCGAUAUCCUGGCCUUUCCUCUUCGAGGUGCUGAAGCAAUACGGCUUCGGGGAUAGAUUCCUUGAGUGGCUGGCGAUCCUCUUGUCUUCUGCUAGCACCAAGGUGCUGCUCAAUGGAAGCCCCGGCCCCCCAAUUUGGCACCGCCAAGGCCUGCGCCAAGGGGACCCCAUGUCGCCGCAACUGUUCGUCUUGGCUGUAGACACCCUUGGUCGCCUGUUCAAGCAUGUCACCGAGCUCGGGAUCAUACGCCGGCUGCACCCCUCCAGACCGAUCCCCCCCAUCUCGCUUUAUGCGGAUGAUGUGGUCCUCUUCUGUCACCCGCAGCCGGACGACAUCGAGGCCGUGAAGGCAAUCCUGCAGCUUUUUGGCCGGGUAUCCGGACUCCGCGUCAACUUCCCCAAGAGCACCGCCACGCUCAUCCGCUGCGAAGAUGACACUGUACUGCCCGUCGUCGAGAGCCUGGGCUGCCCAAUCGUCAAGCUCCCCAUCACCUACCUCGGCAUCCCGCUCACCAUUCGACGCCCCACCACCGCGCAGCUGCUACCCCUCGUCGACAGAGUGGCGGGCAGACUGCCCACCUGGAAGGCUUGGCUCAUGAACCGAGCAGGCCGGCUCGCGCUGGUGAAAUCGGUGCUCAGCGCGAUCCCGCUGCACCAGCUGCUUGUGUUGGCGCCCCCAAAGAGGAUCCUCCGCAUGCUUGAGCGUAUCCAGCGUGGGUUCCUUUGGGCCGGGCGCGCCGAGGCCAAGGGAGGCCACUGCCACGUUAACUGGCGUCGCGUCGCGCGCCCCAGGACCCUCGGCGGACUGGGCGUGCACGAUCUGGAGCGCACCGGCAUGGCGCUCAGGACCCGUUGGCUCUGGUUCAGCAAAACCGACGAGCGCCGUGCUUGGGCUGGUCUCGACCUCCAGUUCUCUGCUGAGGAGCAGGCCUUCUUCUUCGCCAGCACCCACACAUCCAUUGGGAACGGCCACAACACCAAAUUUUGGGAGGACCGGUGGAUCAAUGGACGCUCCGUUCGCGAGAUUGCACCCUUGCUGCACGCCUGCAUCCCAAAACGGCGAAGGAAGAAUAGGACGGUCGCUGAGGGCCUGCAGGCCCAUCUCUGGGCGCGCGAGAUCCACGGCGUCCUGGGAGUUCACGAGAUCGGCCAGUACUUGUUGCUUUGGCGACUCCUCGAGGGUAUUGCCCUCUCCGCCGAGCCUGACAAGCUGAUUUGGAAGUGGACUGAAGCCAGCACCUACACUGCUAAAUCCACCUACCUCGCAUCCUUCCACGGAUCAAUCGCCUGCAACCACUGGAAGCUCACUUGGAAGAGUUGGGCGCCGCCAAAAGUGAAAUUCUUUCUCUGGCUUGUCAGCCUUGACCGCUGCUGGACGGCUGACCGCCUCGAUCGACAUGGGCUUCAGCACCACACGGCGUGCCCCUUGUGCGACCAGGCCCCGGAGACGAUGCAGCACCUCCUGCUAGCUCGCCCCUUCUCGCGGCAGGUCUGGCACGAGAUCCUUUCCUGGAUGCGCAUGACCUGCCGAGCGCCGGCCAAUGACAGCUCCCUGCUCGAUUGGUGGCUCAACGCCAGGCAAGACACCCCCCAGCUGAUGCGCAAGGGGCUGGCAUCCGCGACGCUUCUGACAUCCUGGAUGCUUUGGAAACACCGAAACGACUGCAUCUUCGACCGCGUGCAACCGUCCGUUCACGCCUUAGUGAGUAGGAUCAAGGCCGAAGCCAGGCUCUGGGCCACUGCUGGCGCUGCUGGCCUUAGAGUCGUGCUGCCCACCUCAUGGGAUGUGCACUAG
rnacentral:rRNA from 1 species